GACGAACGCUGGCGGCGUGCUUAACACAUGCAAGUCGAGGGGAAACGGCAUUUAGUGCUUGCACCGAAUGGACGUCGACCGGCGCACGGGUGAGUAACGCGUAUCCAACCUUCCCAUUACUGUGGGAUAACCUGCCGAAAGGCAGACUAAUACCGCAUAGUCUUCGUUGACGGCAUCAGAUAUGAAGUAAAGAUUUAUCGGUAAUGGAUGGGGAUGCGUCUGAUUAGCUUGUUGGCGGGGUAACGGCCCACCAAGGCGACGAUCAGUAGGGGUUCUGAGAGGAAGGUCCCCCACAUUGGAACUGAGACACGGUCCAAACUCCUACGGGAGGCAGCAGUGAGGAAUAUUGGUCAAUGGACGGAAGUCUGAACCAGCCAAGUAGCGUGCAGGAUGACGGCCCUAUGGGUUGUAAACUGCUUUUGUAUGGGGAUAAAGUUAGGGACGUGUCCCUAUUUGCAGGUACCAUACGAAUAAGGACCGGCUAAUUCCGUGCCAGCAGCCGCGGUAAUACGGAAGGUCCAGGCGUUAUCCGGAUUUAUUGGGUUUAAAGGGAGCGUAGGCUGGAGAUUAAGUGUGUUGUGAAAUGUAGACGCUCAACGUCUGAAUUGCAGCGCAUACUGGUUUCCUUGAGUACGCACAACGUUGGCGGAAUUCGUCGUGUAGCGGUGAAAUGCUUAGAUAUGACGAAGAACUCCGAUUGCGAAGGCAGCUGACGGGAGCGCAACUGACGCUUAAGCUCGAAGGUGCGGGUAUCGAACAGG
rnacentral:rRNA from 1 species